AUUUUCACAAACACUAUAAAUCUAUGACCGACUAAUAAAUCUUGACCCCGGAUCCCAAAUUGGGUAUGGUAAAAUACCUGAGAAGGGGUCGAGAAGUCGGGUUAGGUCCGCUCCUUAAGAACGAAACUCUUUUGGGGCGGAUGGAUGGUGGUGGCUACCCUACGUGUAUCCUACGUCUGACUAGUCGACUUAUUAGUUGAUUACUGACGAUUUUGACCCUUCAUUUCUUUCAGGGAGGAGGGGAAGGAGGAUAUCUUUAAUGGACUAUGAUCGCGUGGGAAUGUCGUACCUUUGGAUGGACACAAGUAUAUGACGGAUAGAAGCAUAUCUAAACAUUUUGAAGGGUUUCUGCAAUCGAGAUAAGAAAGAGGGGUGUGUGGAAACCUGAAGCUGGACAGAUGAGUUUUUUAGAGAGUGUGUGAGUUACGUUGUGUUUGUUUUUAUUACGAUUUGUGUUAAUUGUAGCCUUCGAGUAUGUCUCUCUAUAUGGGGUCAGAUUCAACAGGGCUCACUG
rnacentral:lncRNA from 1 species